UACAGAGGGUGCGAGCGUUAAUCGGAAUUACUGGGCGUAAAGCGCGCGUAGGCGGCUUUGCAAGUCGGGUGUGAAAUCCCCAGGCUUAACCUAGGAACUGCAUUCGAGACUGCAUUGCUAGAGUAUGGGAGAGGGAAGUGGAAUUUCCGGUGUAGCGGUGAAAUGCGUAGAUAUCGGAAGGAACAUCAGUGGCGAAAGCGACUUCCUGGACCAAUACUGACGCUCAUGUGCGAAAGCGUGGGGAGCGAAACAAGGAU
rnacentral:rRNA from 1 species